UUUCAGAACAAUAUUACAAUAAUUAUUAAUUAUACACGCGUGUAUUGCUUCAAGUUAUAAAUUUUCAACCGGCAAUCGUAAAAUUUCGUAAGUACACAGGUCGCUCGUUAAUUUUGUCUACCUCGAGUUUUUAUUAAUUUUAUACAAAUUUGUUUUUCAUAACUUGCACUUAUUUCUUUACAACGACACCCAUCCCGAUUACAUGGAAAAUGGCGCGUUUGACACCCGAUGAUCUGUUGUAUUUACUGCAAGUAUUCUUUAAUAAUUUUGAUAAAAAGCUGCUUAAUUCAAGCCAAUCAAGCAAUAAAAUUACUACUUGCUAUGAAUUAUAAACAAUCAACUUCCAUAAUGUUAGAUUAGUGGAUUCAGUUUGUUACAAUGUUUUUAUAUCAACACAACAGCAAUUUUUUGUCAUGACAAUAUUUGGAGAAUCCAUUUAUUUCUGAAAUAAUUCUACUGCCAACCACAAUGUAAAUCUAUUGUAAACUAUUUAAUUUAAUUUAUGUGUCAUGUAUGUUAUUUCAAUUGUAUAAAGGAGACAUACUAAUGAGUAAUAUUUUAUAAAAAUUAAAUAUACC